UACAGAGGUCUCAAGCGUUGUUCGGAUUCAUUGGGCGUAAAGGGUGCGUAGGUGGCGCUGUAAGUCGGGUGUGAAAUUUCGGAGCUUAACUCCGAAACUGCAUUCGAUACUGCGGUGCUUGAGGACUGGAGAGGAGACUGGAAUUCAUGGUGUAGCAGUGAAAAUGCGUAGAGAUCAUGAGGAAGACCAGUGGCGAAGGCGGGUCUCUGGGACGGUACUGACGCUGAGGUGCGAAGGCCAGGGGAGCAAAACGGGG
rnacentral:rRNA from 1 species